rnacentral:lncRNA from 1 species
CGACGUAAUGGGCGGGGCGGGGCGUCUAUGGUGUCUGGGAGCUAUGGAUCCCCUGCAGGUAACCUUCGGGCGGGAACUGAACCCGGGCGGAGGUGGGAACUGGGGUCGAUGUCUUGGGUCGCUCCUGACCCUGGCCUUGGGCAGAGAGUUCUCACAUUAGGUAGUGAUUGCAGGAAGGCUCCUUGAAGAGACUCCCUGAAUGGAUGGGAAUACAGAAAACUCUUUGGAACUGGAUCGUGGGGUCGAGGUCUUUGACGGUCUUCUACUCUUCUAGGAAUCGGUGGGUCCUGACCUAAGGUCGUGGUGGAGAGAUGGAGUCUGGGCACUGAGAUGAGCUAACGUAGGGCUCACUUAUCACCUACCCCGACCCGUUAUGGAAGUAGGGGACAAGGACUUCUUUUCGUCUCUGAAUUCGUAGGACAGUGCCUUGCCAGUUGUAGGUGUCCAUAGACGCUAUCAGAGGAAUAAAUUAAUUACUGGAUUAAAGAACCCGAUUCUGGUUUAGCGGGACAACUUCUACCAUACCUCAGUAUCCCUACCUCUGAAUGUAGACAUGAUUCCAGUUUUCUUACUAACCGGUAAUUUGUGAGUAUGCUGGUGUAAGAGACAUACAGGACAUUGUUAUUUUGUUUUGUUAGAAUUAGGGAAAUUUACACAUGUGCAUUAAUACUUUUCUCCGAGUGGAGAGGAUAAGGCAACUAUUUAGCUUCCUUCGGGUUUCUUUACUUUUCUGGAAGGACUUUUCAGAAAUUGAUCCCAGGGAGGUCAUAAAAUGAUAAGCUACAGUUGGAUCACUGAACUGCUAAUGGGUAUCUUAAGUGCUUUCUUUUCAUCAAUAUAAGCUAAUUUCCUUUUUGUUAAUAUUUUCUGAAGUUGGGGUACUAGAUGUAAAUGAGAAUUAUUUUUAUAACUAAAAUGGAAAUAGGAACUUAUAAAAAUCCAAAGGUUUCACCAGGUGUAUACACAUAAGAAACAGUUGUAGGAGGUCCCAGAAGAAUGAAUCCCUGAAGAUUAUUUUCCUUGUAAAAAGUGCCUUCAGUGUCAUGAAGAGAAGCAUGUACCUGAAAAUCAAGUACUGUAACCAGAUUUUUGUUGUUGUUAAAUAGAAUAAAAUGCAGAUGACACACAGGCUAGAUGAUGAGAUCUGGGCAUGAAUCACUGUCUAGCUGCAGUCCCAGUGAGGUGUUUGUGUGUAUGGAAUAGCUAGUGAAAUGUAGCUCUUGAGAAGUUCCAGAAUCCUAUAAUUAGAUUGGUGAGAAUUGUGUAGAAACCCAGAAUUUAUGCCGUAUUGUUGAUUGUUUGUGUUGUAUGUGUAUGUAGUUUGCUUUUGUACUUUUUACAAAAAAAGAAUUAGCAUUUUUAGAUUUGAAACCUAAGAUGUUCUUAAAAUAGGUUAAAAACCCCCAAAGUAGACAUGUAACUACAUAAUUACUAUAAUUAAAUUUUACAAGUUUUUCUAUCUUUAAAUCUUUUUCUGAUUUCUCAAAGGGUUGGUAUGGAAAUCAUCCCCAUCUUUGAAGGCUGUUACUGUGGUGCCUUGUUUACAAUACAUAUAAAUGUGAUGUAUAGCAGUGUUUUGAGAUCCUCUAAGUUAAGUUAAUAUUGUCUUAGUCUAAUUUUGCCACCUCAAUUUGCUGUUCAAUGUUAUGUCCACUAAACUUUCCACAUCUGAGUGUUUAGUAGUAUAACUAUUAUUCAUGAUGGAUUGGCAUCCAAGUAGUAACUUAGGUAUGUGCAUUGACAUUCUUGAGGUUUUCAGUUUUUACAGAGCACUGAUAUCUAUGGACUCUAACAUGGACUUCAUUUAAAGAAACCCACGGACCAUUAAUGGACAAAAACAUGAGUCAAUUUGUAUUGUGGCAUUCAAAUCCUAGCACUUUGGGAGAGGUAAGUUAUUGACUGUGAUAUAUGUUAGGUGAGAUAGUAGAGUAGCCCUGGAUGGGCCAAGGAAAUUUCAGGAUUGUAAUUAAAAAAUAUAGACCUGAAUACCUAUGUUUUUUAGUCAGCACCUUCCCAAGAGAGGUUUGUUUUGUAUGUAUGAGGCAAUUACUAUAUCUUUGUCAAGUUGAUCAGAAAUUAAAGAGAUUGACCAACUAUGUUGUAUCUGGAAGAUUAUUUCUCUGCUUUCUUUUAUGGGGGAAGUGGGAUCUCCUUUCAACACUUUAGAGCCUGGUAGAAAUAAAUAAAUUUGCAGGCACCCUGUAUAAAUUAAGCCUCAGUCAUUUAAAUCAUGUUGCUUCCAAGUUCAGCUAUCUAACAGUAUAUGUCUCAAAUCUGCUGAUCAGUUGUGCCUUAAGUUUAAGUAACAGGUCCAAAAAAUGUCUUUUUUUGUUGUUGUUUAUCUUGCUUUAUUUAUGCUAUUUUCUUUUCAUUUGUUUCUCCUUUGUCUUUUUCUCUCUCAUGAUUCAUUCUCCCAGCCUUUAAAGCUUCACCUUUUUCUACUUUAUGUCCUAUAAUUCAUUAGUUUGUUUAUUUUCAAAACCUUAAAUUCUAACUUUGUGUGAUAAUAAUUGGCACCUUAAUCACUAAGCAUUUAACUUGUAGUUUUUCUGGCCUCCUUUUUAGGUAUUCUGGCUUCUUGUUUAGAAUUUGUCAUUCUAAUAGCAGGUAUUACUUCUCUUAGGGAUUCAUGUUCAUGUGUAUUUGUACUUGGACAUAAAAAUUCCAAAGAUAUUAAUCACCAUAUUGUUUGAAAUUAAAAAGCAAAAUAAAACUAGAAAUAAUAUAGACAUGCUUCAACAGAUGUCUGGUUAAAUAAAUGCUUUCACACAGUAUUGUAAUUUACAGCUAUUAGGAAGAAUGAAGUGGAUCCAGAUAUGCAGAUAUGGAAAAUUCUAAGACACAUUGUUAAGUGAGAAAAAUAUAUAUAUAUAUAGGCUGGGUGGGGCCGAGGCAGGAGGAUUACAAAUUUGAGAUCAUCCUCAGCAAUUUAGUGAGACCCUCAGCAACUUAGCAAGAUCCUGUCUGAAAAUAUAAAGGACUGAGGCUGUAGCUAAGUGGCAAAGAGGCCCUGGGCUCAAUCCCUAGUACCAUAAAUAAAUAAAUAAAUAAUAGAUAAAAGGAAGCUGUAUGUUUAGUAUGUUUCUAUUUGUGUUUUAUUUUUAUUUUGAGACAGGGUUAUGGUAAGGCUGAGGAUGGCCUCAAACUUGUGAUCCUCCUGCCUUAACCUCCCCAGUCACUAGGAUUACAUGCAUGUUCUGCCACCCCACUUGGCUUUCAUUUGUGUUUUAAAGAAGCAUUUAUUUUAAGCCAGGCAUGUAAUUCUAACUUCUUGAGAGGCUGAGGCAGGAAGAUCCCAAGUUUGAUGCAGCCUGGGCAACUUAGCAAGACUCUGUCAAAAGAAAAAAAAAAGCAUAUAGAAAAUCUCUUCAAAUAUAUAUAAGGAGUUAUAAAUAGAAUUCCUGGAGAAAUGAGAUGAGCAGUCUAGAAUAGGAAGAAGACUAACAUUUUUUUAAUGUAUGCUUUUUUUCUGGUGGAUUAAAUUCUUUACUCGAGCAUAUUCUUAUUUUAAUGAGAUUCAGAAACAAGCAGCAAGGCCUUGGGAUAAUUUAAUAAAUGUGAGAGCCUAUUACUAUUCUGUAUGACUUUCUGUUCUUAUAAUUAUUUGCACUAUUUAAAAGGAGAAGGAUUAUAUGGUGCAUUAAGGUUUUUUAGAGCUGCAAGGAAGAUUUGGUGAUAUUAUAAUAGGUUUUAAACCUUGACAUUAGAGUUUACUAUUAAUGAAAACUUACAGAAUACUGAGUACUUAGUUGCUGCUGAAUUCAAUAUUCCUGUACAGUAUAUAGCAUGUCGAUAACCUGAUCAAGUGAUGUGGUAGUUGUUUGCAAGCUACCUUUGUAUUGCUUUGGCAUGGUUCUUCUGAGCUUCUCGGUUUUGCCGAAUGGAGUGGACUUUGUUUUAUUUGAAUUGCUCUUUACAUACUCUAUUUUUUUUUUUUUUAAACUGGGGAAGAGGCUAGGAAUUAAACACAGGGCCUUGCACAUGCUAGGUGGGUGCUCUACUACUAAGCUAUAUCCCCAGCCCCUGGAUUCCCAAUUGUUUAAACAAGUCUUACAGUUAUUAGUUCACUUUGUUCUUGAUGCUUAGAAAUGGUAAGGGAUUCCAAAAAAUGGAUUGUUCUCAGUUAGUAAAACCAGAAAGACAAUUUGGAUAUACAUGCAUAAUCUCAUUUGAUUUUACUUUGAUUUGGCUGAUUAUUUGCCCUGGACUCAGCAGAAAUGUCUGGUGACUUUUACUCCUCUAGCCACCUUUCUUACAAACCUUUAUUGUGAGACAUUUUGUAAUAACAGUAAUGGGUGAUAAAAUGAACUAUAUAAAAAUAAAAAAUCUUCAUUUCAUUAGUAAAGGGAUUUUAUUCAAAAGUCAGUUGAAAUGGGUUACAUACCUAUAUGAUACCACUGAUUUUUUUUAAUCUUGUUCAAAUCAUGAUGAAGGUCACUAAUCUAGGGACUGAGCCAUGAUGAACAGAACAGGUUAUGAUAUGUCAGGUAUUUAUUUAUAUUUGUGGAUCUGGAGAUAAAACCCAGAGCCUUGUUUAUGUUAAGCAAUUACUCUGCCACUGAGCUAAAUCUCCAUCCCUGGCUAUUAUAUUAUUUGUUUUUUAAAAUACCUUCAUUUUAUUUAUUUAUUUUUAUGUGGUACUGAGGAUCAAACCCAGUGCUCUACCACUGAACUACAACCCAGACCAUAUAUAUAUAUAUAUAUAAUUUUUUUAAUGGGGUUUUACUUUAUUCCCCAGGCUGGUCUUAAAGACCUGGGCUCAAGCAAUUCUCCUGUCUUAGCCUACUGAGGAGAUGGGACUACAGGUGUGCAUAUUUUAUACCAUACUUUCGAGAAUUUUGGGUAUAGUCAUCUCUGUUAAAUGAUGCUUUGUUUCUGAAAAUCCUUGGAACUAAUCACUGUGGUCACAAAGGAAAAAAAAUCACUGAUGAUAGAUUGUGGUGAAGGUGACAUAGAAAAGAAAGAGAUGAACACAUAAGUUACAUGUGGAGAACAUAAAAUUGAGGAAGAUGCCUGUAUGUGUGUAUGUGCAUACACUUUGAUAUAUGAUAAUUAUAUUACAUAUUUAAUAUAUAUAAAACUUUAUGGAAAACCAGAAAUUCCAGAUUGAAAGUUAAUGCAACAAGAAAAAAAGUCAAUAUUUUGAGGCCUCAGAUCUGGGCCUGUGGUGAGCUAAUUCAUAAUCUUGAGAGUAGUUUAAAGUAUUUUGAAAGUUUUAAGGUCAUGCACAAGGUCCAAGUAAUAGGAAGGCAGACAAAAGCCUGAGGGUAAGAAAAUGAAAAUAUAAGAUAAGGUGUAAGGUAUCUUUAAGAUUCUGUUUCGUGGUAACUGUUUUGAGAGGGAAAAAAAUUCAAAAAUUAUUGCUUUUCAAUUUGAUUUAAACUACGUCUAUAAGCCUUUCCUAGCAUUCAGUUGUGUAGAGCCAAGAUUAAACACCUGUGAACCCACAGAACAUUAAUAUACACAAACUGAUUUCAUUACUAAAAUUGCCCUGAUGAAUAAAAGAACUUUUAAAAUUAAUUUUGUGAUUAUAUAAAGGGACAGCUGUGAUAAUCUACAUCAAGGGGACUGGAACUGUUUUUUCAGGAAAUAGAAGACUUUGGAAAAGUGGGGAAACUUCAUAGGAAGUAUAUUUGUUCUGUUAUUUGAGUCCAAAAUUAGUCCUGGAGAAGAUAUAGAACUGGUCAGGAGUGGAACAGAUUGUGUGGAGAGAGAGGGAACUCUAGGUCCUUAGAGUUGCUUAAACAGAGUUUGACCAUCAGGAAUGUUAUAAGGGGUGAGGAUUCUCAUUGUAUGGGACAAUGUACUAGAUUAUUUUGAUGGUCCCUUUCAAAUCCUAAAGUUUCUUUUAUAGUGCAAUAAACUGAUUUAUUAUAGAUAAGUUUAUAUUCUGUUACCCUAUUAUUACUUAAGUAACUACCUGAAUUUCUUAAUUUUUCUGUGCCUUGGUUUCUUCAUUUAUUAUCCCCAUAUUCACAACUGUCUAAUUCUUGCAAUUGUGAAGAUUAAAUGAAUUAAUCUGCACAAAGUAUAUAUAGCAGAUUAUAGACUCAGCAAAUAUUAGCUGCUAUUAUUUUUAUUAACAUUUUUUAAAAGCUUAAAUGUUUCUUGGGGAAAAGGCAAGUUUAUAGGAGCAUAUUUUUAAAAAAGGUUACAGUGAACAAAAAGUUAAGAUAAUGAAAUUAAAAUCCUCUCUAAAAAGAGUAAAGUGGGGGGUGGGGAUUGAACAGAUGCUGGCAUUCCUCUCAGGGCAUAGGCUGUAUAAUUAUUUCCUGAGCUAGAAUUUCAGAUCGCUAUAACUGUUCUUUGAUUACAUUGUACUCAUGUUUACAAUAUUUUUGCUGUUUUUCAUUCGAACCUUGCAAAGUGGUCAGAAUUUUUCCAUUUGAAGAUUUGUUACUUUUAUUCAUCAUUCAAAAAAAAGUUUUCCAACCAUAAUAUUCCUACUUCAACUUCUUUCUCUAUUCCACAAAAUCAACUUCAUUUUAUACUGUCUCUUCCAACAAGCCUUUUGGCUGUGCUUUCAGAGAUCAAAAGCUCUAAGACAGUCUGAUACUUUGGAUAAUGAUCAAAGAGAUUCAAGAAAUUAUUAAAUCAUUUUUAUCUGACUACUGCCUCUACAUGAGUCUGUAAGAAUUUCAAAUUCUGUUGCAAUUUGUAGUGAAGAACAUUAAUCAAAGAGAUAAGUCAAUGAAUAUAUUUUGUAUACUAUGGCUUUUUAAAAUAGUUUUUUUUCAUUCUUUCAGCAUUGUAUCUAGUGAUCUGAUUAAUUAUUGACUAAAGAACUUUUAAAUUUCCCUUUUUAAAAACAAUCAUUAGACUUGCUAGUAGAAUUUGUGUGUGUGUGUGUGUUUUGUUUUCAAGCAUCAAGUACCAAGUUUUUUUCAAGUACCAAGUUUUUGAAGACCAUGACCCACCAUACCAUCAUUAUGCAUUCAAGAGUUGAGUAUGAAUAACCACAUCAAGAUUUAGAUCCUCUUCAAAAGCUUCAAGUGUCAUCUGCAUUAAAGCUCUCCAUUGAACCCUCCACAAAAAUAAAAGCUGAAAGGGACCCAACUCCAUUAAUAUACUUUAAAAAAUAUCCCUUUCUCUGACUUCAGUUUCCUUGACCAUUAGGGUCUUUCAUAUUGCUUAUGUUCCUUUAGACAAGAGCCAACAAAAUGGUGCAUUCCAAAAAAUAUGUUCUGUGGCCAUAAGUUUUUCUUGGUAGGACAGAAUAAACUUGGCAUAAUAAGUUUGGAAUUAGGUCUUUUAUUGUAGCCUACAAAAAGUUGGAUCAAGAAUGUGAAAAUGAGAAUUAAAUGUUAAAAAUAUUUGAGGUUAGUAGAGCAUAUGCUUUGCAUGAGUAAGGCCUGGAUUCAAUCCCCAGCAUCAAAAACGAAAACAAAAAACCUCCCAUAUAUUUAUGAGGUUGGAUUAUACUCUAUGUGUUCUAGAGAAAAGAGCCCCCAACCUGAAAUUUGAUGGUUUUUAUUCUAUCUCUGCCUUCACCUCUUACUAGCUAUAUGAUAAUUGGGAAAGUCGUUUAACUGACAUUAUCUUCAUUAUCUGUAAAGGAACCUGGUAUUUUCCCUGCCUACCUCACAGGGUUGUUGUGAGGUUCAAAUGAAAUAAUAUACAUAAAAAAGACAAUAAAAUGUGCAAUACAGAUGUAGGGACAUGUGUUACAUGAUUGCAAAUCAUUCUUUCUGCUCUUUGGCCUGGGAAGGUAGGUGAUUUAAACACAAAUUGAAAGCAUGUAUUAUGUCCAAGCUGGAUAUGUGGAAAUAAGGCUACAUUAAACUUUUUUCUCCCUCUGAAUACUUAGAAUACUCUUAUGGGCUAAUUCUAAAAAGGAGAAGACUACAAAUUUCCCUCAAAUUAUAAAUUGGCAUUGAUAAUGUUCUAAAGUAAUUAAGGGUUGUAAUAUAUUAGCAAUUUACAAUGUCCAUUUACUAAAUUGUGACCAGCAUUUUUUAAAAAUGAAGAACAUAGAGUAGAAUAUUUCUAAAUUGGCAAAUUAUAAAUUGGCAUUGAUAAUGUUCUAAAGUAAUUAAGGGUUGUAAUAUAUUAGCAAUUUACAAUGUCCAUUUACUAAAUUGUGACCAGCAUUUUUUAAAAAUGAAGAACAUAGAGUAGAAUAUUUCACAAUGCCUCCCACAUAGGAAGAGUAAAUAUUGUUUUAGUUAUAUGUAUGUUUGAAUGUGUGUAUAGUUGGUUAUUAAAUAAAAUGAUAUUUUUCUUGUGAGUUGCAAUUGCAGUUCUUCAGUUCUUAAAGAAUAACUGUAGUACUAAUGCCUUUCUACACGUUUGAAUUCUCAGAAUAUUCAGCAUCUCUUUUUAAAAAUUUUUUUAAUAUUUAUUUUUUUAAGUGUAGAUGGACACAACACAAUGCCUUUAUUUUUUAUGUGGUGCUGAGGAUCGAAUCCUGGUUCUGCCUGUGCUAGGCGAGCGCUCUACUGCUGAGCCACAACCCCAGCCCCAGCAUCUCUUUUCAUAACGUAUUGCUAUUUGUGAUGAAGGAAUUGAUAGUAUCAAUUUAACAUUUAGUUUAACUGAAAUACUUUUUAACUUCAUAGUAAAGAUAAAUCUCACAGGCUUUGAUACUAUUUAUACUGACACCCAGACUGUUAGAGCAUUUAUGUGAUUAGUUCAACUUCUACUAGUGGAAAGAUUGUGUUAAAUUUGUUUAAAAAACUUUUAUCUUUCUGGUCUCAUGGUAAAUAAACUCCCAGUUUUGUUUAGCAUUGUUUGAGGACUAACUGGAGAGAGACUAUAGAGGAUACAGUUAGCAUGACUGGGAAUUUGAUGGUCUCUAAAAGAGAAAAUGCAGUUUUUUUCUUUCUCUGAGUAACUGAGUUUAUCUUUAGAUUAAUUAUUUAAGAUCAGUAAAUCUCUGGUGUUAACUUAUUCAGUCAUUUCCUUUAAAAACAUAUCUAUCUCCUUAGUGAUUUCAUUGGUUAGGAAUAGGUGACUUUUGCAGUACUAUUCAACAAUAGGAAAUGGCUUCUUCCUCUAAGGGUUGUACUUUCCAAUUCAUUGAUGAGGCAGAAUUCUUUAUUUAUUUACUGAAGUGCUAUAUUUGGUACCCUGAGGUUGCUUAAACUUGGAUAAAAGGUUGUACAAAGUACUGAUUUUCUCUGCUUAAGAAUAUUAUAAAGGUACAGAGUACUGAUUGUCUCAAGUUUAAAAAUUAUGUAAAUGUAUAGUGUUAGCAAUGUGGAUCAGGAGAUUUAAUGUAGAAUCUAAUUGCUUCAUUUUUCCAGAACAGUAAUAACCAAGCUUCUUUCAUUGGUGGAGACAGAACAAAUUGCACAUAUUUUGCAAAUUAAGUAUUAUGUGUACAAUAAUUUGCAGUUGUGACAUAAAGACUUAUAAC